AGUGAACGCUGGCUGUAGGCCUAACACAUGCAAGUCGAACGGCAGCACAGUAAGAGCUUGCUCUUACGGGUGGCGAGUGGCGGACGGGUGAGGAAUACAUCGGAAUCUACUUUUUCGUGGGGGAUAACGUAGGGAAACUUACGCUAAUACCGCAUACGACCUACGGGUGAAAGCAGGGGAUCUUCGGACCUUGCGCGAUUGAAUGAGCCGAUGUCGGAUUAGCUAGUUGGCGGGGUAAAGGCCCACCAAGGCGACGAUCCGUAGCUGGUCUGAGAGGAUGAUCAGCCACACUGGAACUGAGACACGGUCCAGACUCCUACGGGAGGCAGCAGUGGGGAAUAUUGGACAAUGGGCGCAAGCCUGAUCCAGCCAUACCGCGUGGGUGAAGAAGGCCUUCGGGUUGUAAAGCCCUUUUGUUGGGGAAGAAAAGCAGCAGGUUAAUACCCCGCUGUUCUGACGGUACCCAAAGAAUAAGCACCGGCUAACUUCGUG
rnacentral:rRNA from 1 species